AAAAUCCGUAAGGUCUGUUUUCUUCAGCAUUGUAGGGUUUCCAUCUUAUGAAGAAGUAAACUUUACAAAAAAAAGAAAAACCAUACCUCAAAUCUUCAGGUGCAGGAGCCCUAGGGUAUGAGUCCAUGAAGAACUUCUGAUUUGGUCUCACUCAGGACUUUGGAUGGGGCAUGAGCCCUUCUGUGAAUACCUUGGAAACCAGAGCUCAGGGCAGGAGCGCUGCUUUUAAUUAAUUGGAGUAAAACUAGUGAACAGGAAAGCGAGGUUCCCAUAAAUGCAAUUUGGCAGGAAGGUUUACCUUAGGUUUUAUUGCACUUGCAAGGGAAAAAUGAAAAGUCAAUUUGUGGCUUUCUAGUUGUGAUUAUUUGAAACCAAAAUUAAGUACCUUAUGUUUGUCAUUGUAUAGACAAUGUAUAGUACAAGAAAUAACACACAGUAGGACUCAACCACCUUUUUCUUUCAUUGUCUCACAAGACUUCUACUUUUAACUGUCUAUUUAUUCUAUUACAUGGAGAUUCCUUACUAACUAAGCUCCUUACAUCUUGCUAACCAAAAAAAUAGGAAAACCUCCCAUCUCUAGCUAUGUGUCUUAAGAGAAAUACUAUAUGCUCUUUUAAGAUGUCCUAAACAUGACACUGCCUUCAAGACAUGUUAAGAUAGGAUGAAAAAAUAGCAGUUAUACCUCUUGUACAACUCCACUUUUUACAAUGGAACUGCAUUCGUUUCUCUUUUAUGAGAUUUUUCUUUUUUUAAUUUAAAAGUCAGUAAAAAUGAUUUAGGGUGUAAAUAACAAACAUUAGAGAAAUCUAUAACCCCUCACCAAAGCACAUGUUCACUACUGUAAACAUCAGUUCCAUGCUUUUGUGCUUUGAUUUGUGAGAGUUUUCCAGCUUAAACAAAAUGAUUAAUGAAUGACAAUCUGAUAGUUUUAACAGAUGCUAAUUGUGUUGAACUUUCAUAUGUAAACCAGCCACAGUUGUCUUGUUCGUGGCUUCACAACAAGGUAAUUGACCUGAAUCUACACUGAAAAUCAAAUACGUCUCAGCACAGUCCUGCAAUGUUAAUUCUUAAUGCAGUGAGCAGCAGGAACUUAGAAAGUCUGUUAACAUUUAGGGUACUUGGGAAAAAAAAGCACAUUGAUAAAGUUGUGUUAUUAACCUUACCAUAUUCAUCAAUUUUAAUUUGUUCAAGAACAAAUCUGGUUUCCCUCUGCUUUAUCUAGAAAUGCAGUGCCAGAGCUGGUAGUGCUUGCACAUGAGUGGAAGUAGUGGGGUGCUAAGUAAUCCAGUUUAAACAGUUGGUUUACACAGCAAUCUGGAACACCCGAUAAACACAGCUGACUUAAACACCAAUAAGUAAUCCAAGUUUCAAAAAAAAGUAAGUUCUGGGUUCAACUGAUUUCAGGGGGGUGAGGUUUUCAGAUGAUGUCUAACCAUACCUUUCAGAACCAGAGGUGUGAUUUACCUAUAUAAAUUUGAAGGAGCUACAUUAUGUAAAGGAGUAGCUCUGAACAAGAUUCUAAGGCCUCUGACUCCCUAUGUAAGCAGGGGAUAUCCAGCAAGAGCAUUAGGAUGUUCUUGUCCACGUUUAUGAUAUUUGUGGAGUCUCUAGACCUAAAAAUAAAAUAAGAAUAAAAUUUGAAAUGUUCACAAAGUUAUAAAAAUGUGAAAUUAAGAGCAACAGUCAUAAAACUUCUCAUAUUUCUCAUUGUAUCUGUGUAGUUUAAGUCUUAUCACAUCCCAGUCAUACCUACAUAGAGAAAGGAAAAGUCUCCAUGAAGAAAAAGUUCUUUGAAGUGGCAUGACAAGAUCCCAUAGCUGAAGAUUAACUUCAGCUUUCAGUUAAAUUAAAAUCACAUUAGAAAUGCACUCUUUUUCCUUUUCCUUUUUACACAUAGGUGGUCAUUAAGCACUAGACCAAUUCAAGAAAGCAAUCAAUUUAUUGUUAAUUCUAUGGCAGAUCAAGAUUUCCAGUCAAACUGGCAUGGUCUCUCACUAAAAACGUGUACUCACUCAGAAACUAUACUAUAGCUUCAAGCUCACUUAUUACCUUUGAAUGGCAAGCUAUACUAGAUUAUCCCAAAGUAGCCCUCCAUAAUCCAUGACACAAAGCAAGGAAAAAAACAGUUUGAACUAAUGGAGCUGAUGUAGAUAACAACCCUUAAAUACGAGGGGAAUAC
ensembl:lncRNA